UACGGGGGGGGCAAGCGUUGUUCGGAAUUACUGGGCGUAAAGGGCUCGUAGGCGGCCAACUAAGUCAGACGUGAAAUCCCUCGGCUUAACCGGGGAACUGCGUCCGAUACUGGCAGGCUUGAAUCCGGGAGAGGGAUGCGGAAUUCCAGGUGUAGCGGUGAAAUGCGUAGAUAUCUGGAGGAACACCGGUGGCGAAGGCGGCAUCCUGGACCGGCAUUGACGCUGAGGCGCGAAAGCCAGGGGAGCAAACGGG
rnacentral:rRNA from 1 species